CUCAACUCUGCACCUGCUCUCAGCUCCCCCUGCCUGUCUGCUGCUUGGGUGGGGCUCUCUCUGACUCAUGCCUGCACAGCAAAGGGGUGCUUUCCUGGGAAGGAGCAGGUCAAUCUUUUUAUGAAGACAAGCUGUAAUCAAUCAGCUGGGUAUAAGAUGGGGUUUUCACCCUUUCCAAGCUGCAUGAGCUCCAGCCACCCCUAGGAGGAGACAACAUAUCACGCAUCUCAAGACCUGGAGGGAGAAUGGCAAGCAGCUGAUUCAUCUCCAUUGCCUGUGAAACACUGCUACUCCACGUGUCACUUCUCACUCAGGGGUCCCCUCCUCACUCCUCCCUACUCAAGGGUAACCUCCAUCCUGAAUUUUGUGCUUAUCAUUCCCUUUUUUUUUCUUUAUAGUGUCAACAUGUUUUGUUCCUAAUACUGCUUUGUUUUGCAUGUCUUGAACUUUAUAUAAAUGGUAUCCCACUGUA